GAAGGGAAUGGCUCCAGAUGCCGUGGACAUGUCUCAGCCUCGGGGGGGGGGGGGGGGGGGGCAGCAUACACCAAACAUAGAACCUCCUCGGCACGCCAUUAUGCAAUAUACGAUUACAUAAUACUGUGGGCUUCCCGCACGCCAUGUUGCCAAAAAAUAAACGGCGCGGCGACUCCACAACAUUAGCGAUGUAAAUAUAUACCGUAAACAGAACAGAAAAGUAACUACUUCUGAUAAACGAAAAAAUUAAAAAAAUCAGGCCUCACCGGUGGAGAAACCCGUCUUCUUGUGACACUUGCUGAACUCGACGCUGAAGUAGGUGACCAGCGCGUGCACGUAGUCGUUGCGCUGCACCUGCAGGCAGAACGCCGACGUGAAGGUCAGGUCGUCCGGCUUCACUGUGUAGACGUCCACUUCCUGUAAGUGUGUGUAUGUAAUAUGUGUGUGUGUGUGUAUCGUUGUAGGCGUGUGAGUGGAGGUGGUGGAGGAGCAACAAAAACAAGUCAUCUUUUCGCUCAUUUCUUUGCGGCAUGUGAAGUUCACACUCCCACACACACACACACACAUACACACACAAUCACAUAUAUGUUUAUCUUGUGUGAUUAUUAUUCACUCUGUGUGUGUGUGUGUGUGUGUGUGUGUGUCCGCAGGUUGAAUCACUCCUCGCGAGCCACCUCUCACACUCCACGCGCGUGGGCGCGUUGCCGGGCGUUCGCUGGCGGCGUCACGCGGAAGCCACUCAACGGCGGCUGCGGGGAAAAUACAGUAGGUCCCCUCGCCGGCCACUUCAUUAGCAAACCCAAAUGGACUCACAGUGGAUCUUGAAGUCCUUGUACUGCCGGUCUUCGAUGGCCACCACGUAGAGGGACGCUCGGUCGGGGAACAUCAGGCCUCCCGGUUUCUGCGCGUGGGAAAAGGCGGUCAAGCGGAGUUGAUUGGUUAACCGCUAAGCCCCGCCCCCGUUCCUCCAGCGUACCGUACCAGCCACUUGUCCCGGGCGAAGAUGACGGUGUUGAGCAUGGAUUCGUAGAAGAGGCAGUAACCCAUCCACUCGGAGAUGAUGAUGUCCACCUUGUCCACGGGGAGCUCCACCUCCUCCACCUUGCCCUGGAAGAUGGUGAUGACUGCAAGCGGAUGCGCGAUGGACGUCAUGAGGAACGCCAACCGAUUGGAUGCGAGACGUGUUUGGCCCCGGCGUUGGCGGCGAACAUGGACAGGAUUCCCGUGCCGCUCCCGACGUCCAGCACCACCUUGUCCUUGAACACGUGCUUGUUGUGAUACAUGGCGUUGCGGUAGGUGAGCGUGCGCACUUCGUCCUUCAGCAUCUCCUGGCGGGGCAGGGCGGGGGUGGGGGGGGGGUGCAAGCUUUCCUUCAGCACAAUGAGCGAACGCAGGCCAAAAGUCUGCGCGGCGACGUCUCAAAAUAGACCCAAGCGUAUCACAAGCCCCCCCCCCCCCACACACACACACCCUCGGGAGCCACCCGAUAGCUGACUUCCUUUUUUCUGCUGCUCUCUUUAUUUUGUGCGAGAGCAAAGGCCCACUUAUCUACUAAAUUUGGAAUCUCACGGGUGUAAAAUGUCCCCCAAAUUUCUCCACUCUUGUCACCUUUCUGCGCGCAAAGUCAUUCCUGAAAUAGCGCGUUCAAAUUAGCUUCUUUUUAAUGAGGUUGCUAAUGGAAAAGAUGUCUCUCAUUUGUUCACGGAGAAGAGGACCUGUCCUGGCUAGAACUGGACCCGAGUAU